GCAAAGGUUUUCUUAAAACCACAAAUAUAAUGAAAUGAUAUAUGG
rfam:Trachymyrmex septentrionalis contig12455, whole genome shotgun sequence.